UACGGGGGGGGCAAGCGUUGUUCGGAAUUACUGGGCGUAAAGGGCUCGUAGGCGGCCAACUAAGUCAGACGUGAAAUCCCUCAGCUUAACUGGGGAACUGCGUCUGAUACUGGAUGGCUAGAGUGUGGGAGAGGGAUGCGGAAUUCCAGGUGUAGCGGUGAAAUGCGUAGAUAUCUGGAGGAACACCGGUGGCGAAGGCGGCAUCCUGGACCACGACUGGCGCUGAGUGAGCGAAAGCCAGGGGAGCAAACGGG
rnacentral:rRNA from 1 species